GGCUUGCGCCACAUUAGUUAGUUGGUGAGGUAAAGGCUUACCAAGAUUAUGAUGUGUAGCUGGACUGAGAGGUUGAACAGCCACAUUGGGACUGAGACACGGCCCAAACUCCUACGGGAGGCAGCAGUAGGGAAUUUUCGGCAAUGGAGGAAACUCUGACCGAGCGACGCCGCGUGAACGAUGAAGUAUUUCGGUAUGUAAAGUUCUUUUAUUGAAGAAGAAAAAAUAGUGGAAAAACUAUCUUGACGUUAUUCAAUGAAUAAGCCCCGGCUAACUAUGUGCCAGCAGCCGCGGUAAGACAUAGGGGGCGAGCGUUAUCCGGAAUUAUUGGGCGUAAAGGGUGCGUAGGCGGUUAGAUAAGUCUAUAAUUUAAUUUCAGUGCUUAACGCUGUCUUGUUAUAGAAACUGUCUUGACUAGAGUGAGAUAGAGGCAAGCGGAAUUCCAUGUGUAGCGGUAAAAUGUGUAAAUAUAUGGAGGAACACCAGAAGCGUAGGCGGCUUGCUGGGUCUUUACUGACGCUGAGGCACGAAAGCGUGGGGAGCAAACAGGAUUAGAUACCCUGGUAGUCCACGCUGUAAACGAUGAGUACUAAGUGUCGGGGUAACUCGGUACUGAAGUUAACACAUUAAGUACUCCGCCUGAGUAGUACGUACGCAAGUAUGAAACUUAAAGGAAUUGACGGGACUCCGCACAAGCGGUGGAUCAUGUUGUUUAAUUCGAAGAUACACGAAAAACCUUACCAGGUCUUGACAUACUCUGCAAAGCUAUAGAAAUAUAGUGGAGGUUAUCAGGGAUACAGGUGGUGCAUGGUUGUCGUCAGUUCGUGUCGUGAGAUGUUAGGUUAAGUCCUAAAACGAACGCAACCCCUGUCGCUAGUUGCCAGCACGUAAUGGUGGGGACUUUAGCGAGACUGCCAAUUAAACAUUGGAGGAAGGUGGGGAUAACGUCAAAUCAUCAUGCCCCUUAUGAUCUGGGCUACAAACGUGAUACAAUGGCUAUUACAAAGAGUAGCUGAAACGCGAGUUUUUAGCCAAUCUCAAA
rnacentral:rRNA from 1 species